UACGUAGGGGGCAAGCGUUGUCCGGAAUCAUUGGGCGUAAAGCGCGUGUAGGCGGUUCGGUAAGUCUGCUGUGAAAGUCCAGGGCUCAACCCUGGGAUGCCGGUGGAUACUGUCGGACUAGAGUACGGAAGAGGCGAGUGGAAUUCCCGGUGUAGCGGUGAAAUGCGCAGAUAUCAGGAGGAACACCAAUGGCGAAGGCAGCUCGCUGGAACGGUACUGACGCUGAGGCGCGAAAGCGUGGGGAGCGAACAGG
rnacentral:rRNA from 1 species